rnacentral:rRNA from 1 species
UACGGAGGGUGCAAGCGUUAUCCGGAUUUACUGGGUUUAAAGGGUGCGUAGGUGGGUCUGUAAGUCAGUGGUGAAAUCUCCGAGCUUAACUCGGAAACUGCCAUUGAUACUAUAGGUCUUGAAUUAUCUGGAGGUAAGCGGAAUAUGUCAUGUAGCGGUGAAAUGCUUAGAUAUGACAUAGAACACCAAUUGCGAAGGCAGCUGGCUACACAUAUAUUGACACUGAGGCACGAAAGCGUGGGGAUCAAACAGG